rnacentral:rRNA from 1 species
UACAGAGGUCUCGAGCGUUAGGCGGAAUCACUGGGCUUAAAGCGUGUGUAGGCGGGUCGUUAAGUAUCUUGUGAAAUCCCACGGCUUAACCGUGGAACUGCUGGAUAUACUGGCGAUCUUGUGCAACCUAGGGGCGAGCGGAACAGAUGGUGGAGCGGUGAAAUGCGUAGAUAUCAUCUGGAACGCCAAUGGUGAAGACAGCUCGCUGAGGGUUUGCAGACGCUGAGACACGAAAGCCAGGGGAGCGAACGGG